CCUACGGGUGGCAGCAGUCGAGAAUCAUUCACAAUGGGCGAAACCCUGAUGGUGCGACGCCGCGUGGGGGAAUGAAGGUCUUCGGAUUGUAAACCCCUGUCAUGUGGGAGCAAAUUAAAAAGAUAGUACCACAAGAGGAAGAGACGGCUAACUCUGUGCCAGCAGCCGCGGUAAUACAGAGGUCUCAAGCGUUGUUCGGAAUCACUGGGCGUAAAGCGUGCGUAGGCUGUUUCGUAAGUCGUGUGUGAAAGGCGGGGGCUCAACCCGCGGACGGCACAUGAUACUGGGAGACUAGAGUAAUGGAGGGGGAAGCGGAAUGCGUGGUGUAGCAGUGAAAUGCGUAGAUAUCGAGAGGAACACUCGUGGCGAAGGCGGGUUCCUGGACAUUAACUGACGCUGAGGCACGAAGGCCAGGGGAGCGAAAGGGAUUAGAUACCCUGGUAGUC
rnacentral:rRNA from 1 species